rnacentral:rRNA from 1 species
GUACACAAAAAUGCACAUGCUGUGAGCUCGAUGAGUAGGGCGGGACACGUGGUAUCCUGUCUGAAUAUGGGGGGACCAUCCUCCAAGGCUAAAUACUCCUGACUGACCGAUAGUGAACCAGUACCGUGAGGGAAAGGCGAAAAGAACCCCGGCGAGGGGAGUGAAAAAGAACCUGAAACCGUGUACGUACAAGCAGUGGGAGCACAGAGCAAUCUGUGUGACUGCGUACCUUUUGUAUAAUGGGUCAGCGACUUAUAUUCUGUAGCAAGGUUAACCGAAUAGGGGAGCCGAAGGGAAACCGAGUCUUAACUGGGCGUUAAGUUGCAGGGUAUAGACCCGAAACCCGGUGAUCUAGCCAUGGGCAGGUUGAAGGUUGGGUAACACUAACUGGAGGACCGAACCGACUAAUGUUGAAAAAUUAGCGGAUGACUUGUGGCUGGGGGUGAAAGGCCAAUCAAACCGGGAGAUAGCUGGUUCUCCCCGAAAGCUAUUUAGGUAGCGCCUCGUGAAUUCAUCUCCGGGGGUAGAGCACUGUUUCGGCAAGGGGGUCAUCCCGACUUACCAACCCGAUGCAAACUGCGAAUACCGGAGAAUGUUAUCACGGGAGACACACGGCGGGUGCUAACGUCCGUCGUGAAGAGGGAAACAACCCAGACCGCCAGCUAAGGUCCCAAAGUCAUGGUUAAGUGGGAAACGAUGUGGGAAGGCCCAGACAGCCAGGAUGUUGGCUUAGAAGCAGCCAUCAUUUAAAGAAAGCGUAAUAGCUCACUGGUCGAGUCGGCCUGCGCGGAAGAUGUAACGGGGCUAAACCAUGCACCGAAGCUGCGGCAGCGACACUGUGUGUUGUUGGGUAGGGGAGCGUUCUGUAAGCCUGCGAAGGUGUGCUGUGAGGCAUGCUGGAGGUAUCAGAAGUGCGAAUGCUGACAUAAGUAACGAUAAAGCGGGUGAAAAGCCCGCUCGCCGGAAGACCAAGGGUUCCUGUCCAACGUUAAUCGGGGCAGGGUGAGUCGACCCCUAAGGCGAGGCCGAAAGGCGUAGUCGAUGGGAAACAGGUUAAUAUUCCUGUACUUGGUGUUACUGCGAAGGGGGGACGGAGAAGGCUAUGUUGGCCGGGCGACGGUUGUCCCGGUUUAAGCGUGUAGGCUGGUUUUCCAGGCAAAUCCGGAAAAUCAAGGCUGAGGCGUGAUGACGAGGCACUACGGUGCUGAAGCAACAAAUGCCCUGCUUCCAGGAAAAGCCUCUAAGCAUCAGGUAACAUCAAAUCGUACCCCAAACCGACACAGGUGGUCAGGUAGAGAAUACCAAGGCGCUUGAGAGAACUCGGGUGAAGGAACUAGGCAAAAUGGUGCCGUAACUUCGGGAGAAGGCACGCUGAUAUGUAGGUGAAGUCCCUCGCGGAUGGAGCUGAAAUCAGUCGAAGAUACCAGCUGGCUGCAACUGUUUAUUAAAAACACAGCACUGUGCAAACACGAAAGUGGACGUAUACGGUGUGACGCCUGCCCGGUGCCGGAAGGUUAAUUGAUGGGGUCAGCGCAAGCGAAGCUCUUGAUCGAAGCCCCGGUAAACGGCGGCCGUAACUAUAACGGUCCUAAGGUAGCGAAAUUCCUUGUCGGGUAAGUUCCGACCUGCACGAAUGGCGUAAUGAUGGCCAGGCUGUCUCCACCCGAGACUCAGUGAAAUUGAACUCGCUGUGAAGAUGCAGUGUACCCGCGGCAAGACGGAAAGACCCCGUGAACCUUUACUAUAGCUUGACACUGAACAUUGAGCCUUGAUGUGUAGGAUAGGUGGGAGGCUUUGAAGUGUGGACGCCAGUCUGCAUGGAGCCGACCUUGAAAUACCACCCUUUAAUGUUUGAUGUUCUAACGUUGACCCGUGAUCCGGGUUGCGGACAGUGUCUGGUGGGUAGUUUGACUGGGGCGGUCUCCUCCUAAAGAGUAACGGAGGAGCACGAAGGUUGGCUAAUCCUGGUCGGACAUCAGGAGGUUAGUGCAAUGGCAUAAGCCAGCUUGACUGCGAGCGUGACGGCGCGAGCAGGUGCGAAAGCAGGUCAUAGUGAUCCGGUGGUUCUGAAUGGAAGGGCCAUCGCUCAACGGAUAAAAGGUACUCCGGGGAUAACAGGCUGAUACCGCCCAAGAGUUCAUAUCGACGGCGGUGUUUGGCACCUCGAUGUCGGCUCAUCACAUCCUGGGGCUGAAGUAGGUCCCAAGGGUAUGGCUGUUCGCCAUUUAAAGUGGUACGCGAGCUGGGUUUAGAACGUCGUGAGACAGUUCGGUCCCUAUCUGCCGUGGGCGCUGGAGAACUGAGGGGGGCUGCUCCUAGUACGAGAGGACCGGAGUGGACGCAUCACUGGUGUUCGGGUUGUCAUGCCAAUGGCACUGCCCGGUAGCUAAAUGCGGAAGAGAUAAGUGCUGAAAGCAUCUAAGCACGAAACUUGCCCCGAGAUGAGUUCUCCCUGACUCCUUGAGAGUCCUGAAGGAACGUUGAAGACGACGACGUUGAUAGGCCGGGUGUGUAAGCGCAGCGAUGCGUUGAGCUAACCGGUACUAAUGAACCGUGAGGCUUAACCUUACAACGCCGAAGGUGUUU